CAGGGAGACAACAAAAUGUUCAAUAUUAUUUUGUCACCUUAGGUCGAUCGGUAUCUCAUGUUCUUAAUUCUUAAGAAUUUCAAUUCCUAAGUUUUUUCUAGGUCACACCCAUUAUUUUUCCUGGGCCAUUAGCUCAGGUGGUAGAGCGCACCCCUGAUAAGGGUGAGGUCCCUGGUCAAGUCCAGGAUGGCCAUAUCUCUAUGUUGGGGGUAUAGCUCAGUUGGUAGAGCGCCUGCUUGCAAGCAGGAUGUCAGCGGUUCGAGUCCGCUUACCUCCACUGAUUACCACCUCUUCCAUAAUCUUUAGAAAGGGAAAUUUAUUGUGUUGUGAUCAAAUUCUGAACGAAUCUAGCUUCCUAAUGAAAUCAUUAAGAUGCUGGACUCAUUGAAUUAAUUUCAUUGUUUUCAGAGAACCUUGACAACUGCAUAGAUUAUUUUAAAGACAAUAAGCAUCUUUAAUGAUGCAGAUUUAUUAUUUGUGCGAAUGCAUUAAAUAACAAUUCUAUUAAGCUGAUGCUUCAA
rnacentral:misc_RNA from 1 species